GUAGGUGGCAAGCGUUGUCCGGAAUUAUUGGGCGUAAAGCGCGCGCAGGCGGUCCUUUAAGUCUGAUGUGAAAGCCCACGGCUCAACCGUGGAGGGUCAUUGGAAACUGGGGGACUUGAGUACAGAAGAGGAGAGCGGAAUUCCAAGUGUAGCGGUGAAAUGCGUAGAGAUUUGGAGGAACACCAGUGGCGAAGGCGGCUUUCUGGUCUGUAACUGACGCUGAGGCGCGAAAGCGUGGGGAGCAAACAGGGAUUAGAUACCCUGGUAGUCCACGCCGUAAACGAUGAGUGCUAAGUGUUAGGGGGUUUCCCGCCCCUUAGUGCUGCAGCUAACGCAUUAAGCACUCCGCCUGGGGAGUACGGCCGCAAGGCUG
rnacentral:rRNA from 1 species